rnacentral:lncRNA from 1 species
AUUAAAUCAUGAAAAAAUAUGAUGAAUAAUAUACAAUUGCACUUUUAAUAGAAUUUACGAUUUAGACUUCAACUGCAGUCUACCUUUGUAGAUUUACAAAAACGUCUACACUUAUUAUCUAACACCAAAAAUUUCUAGUUGGCUCUGACUUGAUACACAAAGGCGUACAAAGUGUGUCUUAGCUAACUCAAUCAAGUUCCGCACUUGUAUAUCAUUCGUGACAUGCAUAGGAGGAGUAUCCGGAGCCAUUUGUUGUAAAAUGACGUCUGGUAAGGAAUAUGUUAGCACCACUUUCUCGAUUUUCUUGUCCAGACCAUAAUCUUCUAG